CUUAGGUAUGGCACUAGAAAGGAUAUUUGUUUCAAUAGUACAUCUCACCAUGAUAUAAAUGUGGACAUUACUCUUUAAUACUUUCCCCUGCAUCCAUCCUUUCAGCAGCAAGAGACUGAGAAGAGGAACAUGAUGCAGCCUGAGCUCUUCCCCAUCACCCAGGAGAACAAAUGGAUUCCAGUAGCAAAGCACACUGUGGCUUUGUCAUUCUUUUGACAGCGGACAGGGUGUUUUCCAGCUGAAUCUGUUCCCUGGGGUGGUUUUCUGCAUGGAGACAGAAUGCACAGCACGGUGUAUCUCUUCCCAUUCUGUUUGUGUUGCCCUUGGUUUGCCUGGAGGCAGGAUCUGUCAUGGCUCUGAAUUGUUCUGCCCAAGGGACAUGGGGGUGUCCCAGAAGUUUAGGACCAAGAACCU
rnacentral:lncRNA from 1 species